UCCUGGGUGUUCUCUCCGGCCCAUGGCUGGUAUGGUAGGCAGGAGAGCCGGGAAGGGGGCAGUGGGAGAAGGCCUUGUGUGGGGAGGAGCCAUGUUCACCCUGGCUUCCUGGCCUGCAAGUUGACUGUUGCCUUCACUCAGCAGCUCUAGUCUUGGGUCUCCUUUCUCCUCCUUUGAGCAUCUGUGGGCCCCCGGCACCUUUCCCUGCCCGGGCCCAGCAAUGAUGCAGGAGCCCUAGCUCGGUUCUCGUCCUGCCGCCCAGUCAGCCUGUGUCCCAGACUCCACGCGCCUCUGACAGCAGCAGACGUAGGGCUGACGACGACAGUAGUAACCAUAGCUGCGUCGGGAGCAGGACAGUGCGUUUUACGUCACAUUUGGUUUCUGGCUCUGAGUGUGCUUGGGGGAGGGUGGAGGAGGCGAGGGCCGGCUCAGACCCCUCCUCCUUCCACUCCAGCCCUUGGUGGUCUGGGUUCUCACCGGACAGUCUAGAGGAGGAAAGUCCCUUCUUGGCUGAGCAGUGCCUUAUGAGGUGUUGGCGGGAAGGCUGGCCUGUUCGGUGGGCUGGGUCUGUCUUCUCGGGGGGCUUGGAGCCUCAGCCGUGGCUGAGCUGGGGCUGCAGGCUUUCUUCUGGGGGCCGGUGGCCUGUGAGGUCUUUUUGCAGGAAUGGAGGUCCUUUGCUGCACCAAGAAAUGCCGAAGCUGUGGGCAGAGAGGUGUGCCCAAGGGGGCUCCUGCUCUGUCUGACUUCUGGGGGACCCCCAGGUGGGCAGGACCGGGGGAUGCAGCGCCCAGCAGUAUGGAGGGCGGAAGCGUCAGAGCUCAGACUACAACAGAAGACCAACAAAGAGUCAGAUGACUAGAAACUGGACAAGAAUCUGUUCUCUGGAAACUCUCUGAUCGUCUCAUUCUGCCAGGGAAUGGAGAGGGAUAAAGCUGGCUACUCGUGGGGUGCCUGCUGCACGCCACCUGCUGUCCUAGAUCAGUGGGAAGAACAGAGAUGCCUGUCCUGGGAGCUUAGCAUCCAGUGGAGAAGAGAGCCAGGAAAAGCAAGCAACGGACCGGAUUAAGAGUCUGUCAGUGCGGCUCAGCAUCGUGACAGAGAAGAUAGACCCCGAGUUCCUGCCCUCCAGUGACAGGAAGUAAGACGAAGGGAAGGAAGAGCAGGGCAGGGACCCUCGCGAUCGCACCUGGCAGGUGUCCACGCCGCCCUCCAGCGUGCCGGCGCACAGCAUCUUGUCCGUGACCUCGCCCUGGUACGCGUCCUCCGCGUUGCACCGCGCGUGGCCGAUGACCUGCACGGACGCCUGCAGCAGCUCGUCGGACAUCUUUCCUAGGAGGUCGGGACGCACUCACGUUUCCAGCUUCGCCUUCUGCCCCCAGCCCAGGACCUUCCCCGGGUUGCCUGGUACCUUGGUGCUUGGACCAGGAUGGGUUUUUCUUAAGCCCAGUCCUCCUCCCAUCGCUCCCAAAAGCUGGUCCUGAGCCCGGACUCACCUCCACCCUGCUCCGUAAAGCCCCAUCCAGUGACCCAGAGCGGGGUGGCUGGGGUGAGCUCCUCAUCAAAGAAGGGCAGGCAGAUGGGCCUGACUGUGCCUGCCGGGAGCGGGGGGAGAGAGAGAGAGAGAGAGAGAGGGGAGAGCCUGGUGGCUGAGCCCUCUGAAGAGGCUGACGGCAGGCUUGUAGGAUCUGUGUUCCACGGGGUGUUAACAAAAGUGGCAUGAGAAAAAAAAUUCUGUGGUCAAAUAAAUUGAGGAGCUAUGGGUUAAAAUAAA